rnacentral:rRNA from 1 species
UACGUAGGGGGCUAGCGUUGUCCGGAAUCAUUGGGCGUAAAGAGCGUGUAGGCGGUCCGGUAAGUCCGCUGUGAAAGUCGGGGGCUCAACCCUCGAAUGCCGGUGGAUACUGUCGGGCUAGAGUGUGGAAGAGGCGAGUGGAAUUCCUGGUGUAGCGGUGAAAUGCGCAGAUAUCAGGAGGAACACCUAUUGCGAAGGCAGCUCGCUGGGACGUUACUGACGCUGAGACGCGAAAGCGUGGGGAGCAAACAGG